rnacentral:rRNA from 1 species
AGUGGCGGACGGGUGAGUAACGCGUGGAUAACCUGCCCCAUACAGGGGGAUAACAGUUAGAAAUGACUGCUAAUACCGCAUAAGACCACGGCACCGCAUGGUGCAGGGGUAAAAACUCCGGUGGUAUGGGAUGGAUCCGCGUCUGAUUAGCUUGUUGGCGGGGUAACGGCCCACCAAGGCGACGAUCAGUAGCCGGCCUGAGAGGGCGACCGGCCACAUUGGGACUGAGACACGGCCCAAACUCCUACGGAAGGCAGCAG